rnacentral:rRNA from 1 species
GAUGAACGCUAGCUACAGGCUUAACACAUGCAAGUCGAGGGGCAGCAUGGUCUUAGCUUGCUAAGGCCGAUGGCGACCGGCGCACGGGUGAGUAACACGUAUCCAACCUGCCGUCUACUCUUGGACAGCCUUCUGAAAGGAAGAUUAAUACAAGAUGGCAUCAUGAGUCCGCAUGUUCACAUGAUUAAAGGUAUUCCGGUAGACGAUGGGGAUGCGUUCCAUUAGAUAGUAGGCGGGGUAACGGCCCACCUAGUCUUCGAUGGAUAGGGGUUCUGAGAGGAAGGUCCCCCACAUUGGAACUGAGACACGGUCCAAACUCCUACGGGAGGCAGCAGUGAGGAAUAUUGGUCAAUGGGCGAGAGCCUGAACCAGCCAAGUAGCGUGAAGGAUGACUGCCCUAUGGGUUGUAAACUUCUUUUAUAAAGGAAUAAAGUCGGGUAUGCAUACCCGUUUGCAUGUACUUUAUGAAUAAGGAUCGGCUAACUCCGUGCCAGCAGCCGCGGUAAUACGGAGGAUCCGAGCGUUAUCCGGAUUUAUUGGGUUUAAAGGGAGCGUAGAUGGAUGUUUAAGUCAGUUGUGAAAGUUUGCGGCUCAACCGUAAAAUUGCAGUUGAUACUGGAUAUCUUGAGUGCAGUUGAGGCAGGCGGAAUUCGUGGUGUAGCGGUGAAAUGCUUAGAUAUCACGAAGAACUCCGAUUGCGAAGGCAGCCUGCUAAGCUGCAACUGACAUUGAGGCUCGAAAGUGUGGGUAUCAAACAGGAUUAGAUACCCUGGUAGUCCACACGGUAAACGAUGAAUACUCGCUGUUUGCGAUAUACAGCAAGCGGCCAAGCGAAAGCGUUAAGUAUUCCACCUGGGGAGUACGCCGGCAACGGUGAAACUCAAAGGAAUUGACGGGGGCCCGCACAAGCGGAGGAACAUGUGGUUUAAUUCGAUGAUACGCGAGGAACCUUACCCGGGCUUAAAUUGCAGAUGAAUUACGGUGAAAGCCGUAAGCCGCAAGGCAUCUGUGAAGGUGCUGCAUGGUUGUCGUCAGCUCGUGCCGUGAGGUGUCGGCUUAAGUGCCAUAACGAGCGCAACCCUUGUUGUCAGUUACUAACAGGUUCCGCUGAGGACUCUGACAAGACUGCCAUCGUAAGAUGUGAGGAAGGUGGGGAUGACGUCAAAUCAGCACGGCCCUUACGUCCGGGGCUACACACGUGUUACAAUGGGGGGUACAGAGGGCCGCUACCACGCGAGUGGAUGCCAAUCCCAAAAACCUCUCUCAGUUCGGACUGGAGUCUGCAACCCGACUCCACGAAGCUGGAUUCGCUAGUAAUCGCGCAUCAGCCACGGCGCGGUGAAUACGUUCCCGGGCCUUGUACACACCGCCCGUCAAGCCAUGGGAGCCGGGGGUACCUGAAGUGCGUAACCGCGAGGAGCGCCCUAGGGUAAAACUGGUGACUGGG